GUUUAUGGCCAUACUGCCCUGAAGAGGUCUGAUCUCCACUGACCUAGAAAGCUAAACAGGGUCAAGCCUGGCUAAUAGUUGGAUGGAAGACCACUGGGGAAUACUGGGUGCUAUAAGCU
ensembl:rRNA 5S_rRNA 5S ribosomal RNA